rnacentral:rRNA from 1 species
AUUGAACGCUGGCGGCAUGCCUUACACAUGCAAGUCGAACGGAUUUUGGGGCUUGCUCCAAAGCUAGUGGCGAACGGGUGAGUAAAGCAUCGGAACGUACCCAGUCGUGGGGGAUAACGUAGCGAAAGUUACGCUAAUACCGCAUACGAUCUGAGGAUGAAAGCGGGGGACCUUCGGGCCUCGCGCGAUUGGAGCGGCCGAUGUCGGAUUAGCUAGUUGGCGAGGUAAAGGCUCACCAAGGCGACGAUCCGUAGCUGGUCUGAGAGGACGACCAGCCACACUGGGACUGAGACACGGCCCAGACUCCUACGGGAGGCAGCAGUGGGGAAUUUUGGACAAUGGGCGAAAGCCUGAUCCAGCCAUGCCGCGUGAGUGAAGAAGGCCUUCGGGUUGUAAAGCUCUUUCAGACGGAAAGAAAUCGCUCGGGUGAAUAUCCCGGGAGGAUGACGGUACCGUAAGAAGAAGCACCGGCUAACUACGUGCCAGCCGCCGCGGUAA